GCUGAUAUGGAUAUAUAUCAAUACCUAGAAGUCCAGGAAAAAGGAAAAAUUAACAAUGAGAUUUCAUCACUAGGAUGGUCAUGCAGGCUUGAAAGAAUCAGAAGACUGGAAAAGAGAAUUUAACUCCUGGUGAUCCAUCUAUGGGCAAAUGGUGGAAAAAUUCUGUUAACAUUUCUUGGAUCAUG